rnacentral:lncRNA from 10 species
AUGCUUGACUAUUAUAAGGCCUUAUAAAUAUUCUUCUAUGUUUUUUCUAGGAUAUUUAUAGUUUUAGCUUUACUUUUCCCAUUAGGUAAACUUUGUUUAAUAAAACAAUGUUUUUAUGUUAACUCUCUGAAAGAGCUGAGAGAAUAUUUUCUUUUAAAAAGUCUUGUGGUGCUAGAUGAGGAAGGGAGAACAUAAGUUAGGUGGGAUAAUCACUGGUUGCCUGGAAAUGGGGUGAGAUUGGAGAGGAGGACAAGAAGAAUAGUAAGAACAAAUAAUAAUUUGCUUAAGUUAAAUUGAUGUACCACACUGGUAGUAAUGAUCAACAGGUUACUAAUCCCUCACUUCUGAUAUUUAAUUGAUUUACUUUGUUGGAAUUUUAAUGGUAAUCAUGACAAAUUUAAUAAAACAUACUAGAAAUGCAAUGACAUAGACAAACAUACAAGGAUUUAUAUCUGUUGAAGUGUAUGGUACUCAAUGUUCCAGAUCUUGUGUGAAAAAGUGCCACAGUGAAACAGCCAAAGAACUAACAUAGAUAACUCAAUUUUUGUUUAAGGGGCCUCCUCUUCUUCUCCAUUUUUACUGUCUUCAUAGAUUAUCUCCUCUAGUGACUUUGUUUAAAUAUAGCCUUUAUGCUGAUGACUCCCAUUCUCCUGCCUCAGCCUCCCGAGUAGCUGGGACUACAGGCACCCGCUACCGCGCCCGGCUAAUUUUUUGUAUUUUUAGUAGAGACGGGGU